rnacentral:rRNA from 1 species
GGAAUUGACGGGGCCCGCACAAGCGGUGGAGCAUGUGGUUUAAUUCGAAGCAACGCGAAGAACCUUACCAGGUCUUGACAUCCCCUGACAACCCAAGAGAUUGGGCGUUCCCCUUCGGGGGGACAGGGUGACAGGUGGUGCAUGGUUGUCGUCAGCUCGUGUCGUGAGAUGUUGGGUUAAGUCCCGCAACGAGCGCAACCCUCGCCUCUAGUUGCCAGCAUUCGGUUGGGCACUCUAGAGGGACUGCCGGCGACAAGUCGGAGGAAGUGGGGAUGACGUCAAAUCAUCAUGCCCCUUAUGACCUGGGCUACACACGUGCUACAAUGGGCGGUACAAAGGGCUGCGAACCCGCGAGGGGGAGCCAAUCCCAAAAAGCCGCUCUCAGUUCGGAUUGCAGGCUGCAACUCGCCUGCGUGAAGUCGGAAUCGCUAGUAAUCGUGGAUCAGCAUGUCACGGUGAAUACGUUCCCGGGUCUU